rnacentral:rRNA from 1 species
CGAAGGUAGCAUAAUCAUUAGUCUUUUAAUUGAAGGCUGGUAUGAAUGGUUGGAUGAGAUAUUAACUGUUUCAUUUAAAUUUUUUAUAGAAUUUUAUUUUUUAGUUAAAAAGCUAAAAUAUUAUUAAAAGACGAGAAGACCCUAUAAAUCUUUAUAUUUUAUUUUUAUUAAUUAUUUAGAUAUUUUUAAUUAUUAAAAAUUAAAAUAUUUUAUUGGGGUGAUAUUAAAAUUUAAUAAACUUUUAAUUAAUAAUAACAUAAAUUUAUGAUUUUUUGAUCCGUUAUUAAUGAUUAAAAAUUUAAGUUACUUUAGGGAUAACAGCGUAAUUUUUUUGGAGAGUUCAUAUCGAUAAAAAAGAUUGCGACCUCGAUGUUGGAUUA